rnacentral:lncRNA from 1 species
AAAUAAUUAAGGAGUACCCUGCAGUGUCAUCUAGAAUAUGUCAGUUUCAGGGCUGUGAAGGUCUGAAUAUCAGCCCAGCGUCGGGUGGGCACAAAAGACUAGGACAUUGAACAGAGCUCACAUCUUCAGCCUGGAUCCUGGAGUACUUCUGGGGUGCGAGGUGGGGUUAUUGGAGAACCUAGAUUUUCUCAUAUCCCUCUCCCUGAAGACUCUCAAGGAAGCUGUACACGUGGAACAGCAGCAGACAAGGAUCAGAGUACAUGACCUGAUUAUGUGUUAGUUACGUCAUAGUCUGUUGUAAGGCUCAGGUAAUUUCAUGUAGUUUAGCUUCAGUGUCCUAAACAGAAACCUCUUAAUAUCUUCCUAGGCUCACAUCUGUACCCGUUAACCUUCCCACUCCGUGGAUAACUGCCUAGUAUAGAAACCAAAGCAGUGGGCAAAGAGAGAAUAUAGAGUCUGCUGAGGUUAAGACCUGCUACCACAGGUCAAGAAGAGCCAGGGAAGGAAAAAUUAUAUAUGUGACUCUUUAAUGUACAGAAACUACCCAGUAUGCAGCAUAGCCAAGUUGAUGUCUUAAGCCUGUUUUAUUAUCAAGUCCUUCAGUGGGACAGAGGCUAGAAGAAAGGUGACUGGGAGCGAGUAGAGAGGCCUAAGAGCUUCCAUUUCCUGCCCACCCUACAGUCAGACAUUGCUGGUCACCAUGCUCCUUUGCUGGUCCACACAGUCCUCUGACCCUCCUCUUCCCCAACCAGAGGCGCUGUUUUUGGAGGAAC